rnacentral:rRNA from 1 species
CCUACGGGAGACAGCAGUGGGGGAUAUUGCACAAUGGGGGAAACCCUGAUGCAGCGACGCCGCGUGUGGGAAGACGGUCCUCUGGAUUGUAAACCACUGUUCCCAGGGACGAAGAUGACGGUACCUGGGGAGGAAGCUCCGGCUAACUACGUGCCAGCAGCCGCGGUAAUACGGAGGGAGCGAGCGUUGUCCGGAAUUACUGGGUGAAAAGGGAGCGUAGGCGGGGAUGCAAGUUGGGUGUCAAAACUACCGGCUCAACUGGUAGUCGCACUCAAAACUGCAGCUCUUGAGUGAAGUAGAGGCAGGCGGAAUUCCUAGUGUAGCGGUGAAAUGCGUAGAUAUUAGGAGGAACACCAGUGGCGAAGGCGGCCUGCUGGGCUUUUACUGACGCUGAGGCUCGAAAGUGUGGGGAGCAAACAGGAUUAGAUACCCCUGUAGUC